rnacentral:rRNA from 1 species
GACGAACGCUGGCGGCGUGCUUAACACAUGCAAGUCGAACGGUGAAGCGCCUUCUUUUUUGGUGGGUGUGGAUGAGUGGCGAACGGGUGAGUAACACGUGAGUAACCUGUCCCCUUUUUCUGGAUAACCGCAUGAAAGUGUGGCUAAUACUGGAUAUUCUGGGUCUGUGGCAUGUUGGGUCUGGGAAAGAUAUUGUUUCGGUGGGGGAUGGGCUCGCGGCCUAUCAGCUUGUUGGUGGGGUGAUGGCCUACCAAGGCGGUGCUGGGUAGCCGGCCUGGGAGGAUGGACGGUAACAGAAGGGCGGAGAGGCCGCCCAGACUCCGGCAGGAAGCAGCAGUGGAUAUUAUUGAACGGUGGGCAGAAUGCUGAUGCAGCGACGCGUCGUUGGGGAUGGAGGCCUGCGGGUUGUGAACCUCUUUCGCGGGUGAAGCAGGGUUGCCUCGUGUGUGGGUGGGUUGACGGUAGCUGGAGAAGAAGCGCCGGCUAACUACGUG